rnacentral:ncRNA from 1 species
GAGAUAGAGGCGCGGGGUUCAUCAGUACCGCUCCGGCAAGGACAGGCAGCCGCCGGGGCGCGAAAGGGAACACCGCCGAAGCGUGGGAACGCGGCCUGGCUGUUCCAUGCUGGGCCGGCAGAAAACAUCUGCCGGACUGUCACAGAGUUUUUUGUGAAGCGCUAUCA